UCCACCCGUCUGCAGGGGGUCUGCUUCUGUUCCCUGCCCAAAGGAAGUCAUGUGGCCAAGAGUAAGGUGUAGGAAGAGGACAAGCCAAGGAACGCAGUGGCCUGCAGGAGCUGGAAACAAGUGCAGACGGAUUCUGUGCCAAAGCCUCCAAAGGGACGCUUGCUUUUAGCCUAGUGAGACUCCCGCCAGACUUCCAGCCCCCUGAACUGUAAGGUCAGGCUGGGCAGCCCUGUCAGCCCUGAGCUCCUGGACUCCCUGCUUAGACAUCUCAUAAGAAGAGGACUCUUCUGUCUGCACAGCAGCCCCAAGACUGACGGCCACGUUGGGCUGGACUCAAGUCUCUGAGUCAGCAACUGAAGUUUUGUCAGCUGGGGUCAUAUGACUACGCUGCUCCUCACUGUGAUGCACCGAACCCUCCAGGGCCACACGGGCAGAGGAAGAGGUCCUGAGGAGCCAGAAACGCGGGUUUAACCAGUCCACAGCUAUACUCCAGAUCUCCCCCAAGCCCACUUCACCCACAGGUUCCCCAUUUCAGUUACCAGCACCUCCGUCCUUCAGUUGUUUGGUCUCCUCUUGAAUAUCUCUGCAGCUUCACACUCCACAUCUGAUCCAGCAGGAAAUCCUGCUGGUUCUGUGCCCAGCGCCGCUACCCUCCCACCCGCCACCACCUCCUGCCCAGAUGCUUGCGUCAGCCUCCAGCCAGCCCCUGCCUCAACCUUCGCUCUCCCUGGCUGUUCUCAACACAGCGGGCACGGUUUUCCUGUAAACUGCAAGGCAGACAUGUCACUGCUCUCUCUACACAUUCCAGAGGCUCCCAUUGUUCCACCUGGAGCAGGUGCAAAUCCUAAUAGUUCCCGGGCUACUGACCUGGCCGUUGCCU